rnacentral:rRNA from 1 species
AGAACGAACGCUGGCGGCAUGCCUAACACAUGCAAGUCGAACGAGACCUUCGGGUCUAGUGGCGCACGGGUGCGUAACGCGUGGGAAUCUGCCCUUGGGUUCGGAAUAACAGUUGGAAACGACUGCUAAUACCGGAUGAUGUCUUCGGACCAAAGAUUUAUCGCCCAGGGAUGAGCCCGCGUAGGAUUAGCUUGUUGGUGAGGUAAAGGCUCACCAAGGCGACGAUCCUUAGCUGGUCUGAGAGGAUGAUCAGCCACACUGGGACUGAGACACGGCCCAGACUCCGUACGGGACGGCAGCGAGGUAGGGGAAUAGUUGGACAAGUGGGCGAAAGCCGUGAUCCGAAGCAAUCGACCGCGGU